rnacentral:rRNA from 1 species
CCUACGGGUGGCAGCAGUGAGGAAUAUUGGUCAAUGGUCGGGAGACUGAACCAGCCAAGCCGCGUGAGGGAUGAAUGUACAGAGUAUCGUAAACCUCUUUUGUCAGGGAACAAAGUCGGGGACGUGUCCCCGGAUGAGUGUACCUGAAGAAAAAGCAUCGGCUAACUCCGUGCCAGCAGCCGCGGUAAUACGGAGGAUGCGAGCGUUAUCCGGAUUUAUUGGGUUUAAAGGGUGCGCAGGGGGUUUGUUAAGUCAGGUGUGAAAGCCCGGGGCUCAACCCGCGACCCGCGUUUGAUACUGGCAGUCUCGAGUUGGAUAGAGGUAUGCGGAAUGCGCGGUGUAGCGGUGAAAUGCAUAGAUAUCGCGAAGAACUCCGAUUGCGAAGGCAGCAUGCCGGCUCCACACUGACGCUGAGGCACGAAAGCGUGGGUAUCGAACAGGAUUAGAUACCCCUGUAGUC